AGGGACACAGUUGCACUUACAAGUGAAAUUUUUUCUCUAAUGUAUGAAUAAAUUUUAUGUGGAUACCCACCAUGAUUUCCUGAUGUGGUAUAGUUUAAAAGCAAAAAAUUAUAGGUGAGUAGCCACUAUCAUAGUUCCUUUCAAGUCAUUGCUGAAUCUCGCUGUUAAGACUCUUUGGUUGUAAUGCCUGCAGAUUUGGUUAGCCCCACUCAGGUAGUGCAGACAAGCAGGGGCACUAGCAGCAGUGGGCAGCCCAUUCCCUAGGCCUUUGCCCACCCUUCAGGGAUCACUGUGCUCUUGCAGUGAUAUGUUAGCAUAUCUCUAAGCCUGUGCAUUUCUGUACUUGGCUUAUAGCCAACUGGCAGAGGCUGAUAUUUUGAUACUGCUUUACAGCUAGAAAGCUGCCUGCAGCUUCAGCUCCAGCUGAUGCCUUGAGAUCUGAAAUGGGAUUUUUAAAGUGAGUUCCAAUGUUUUCAUUAUUAGCUCCUUCUCAUCUUUUCAAAUGCUUUGGGUGUGCUUACGCCUAAAGGUGACCAGCUCUACAGAUGUGCACAGUGGAGAAUCAGGUACCUUUCUUCCCUUGCUUUUCAGACAGCAUUCUGACAGCGUGAUGAAGUUUCUCUUGCAAGGGGAAUAUGGAAGGAAGAGGUCUUUUGAACACCUUCAUGUGAGUGAUGUAAUUUGUCACAAAAAAGCAAAAGCUUCCAUCUGGAGGAAAGAAAUCUCUUCUGCUCCUGACCCUUUCAGACCUCAUGUCGCUGUAUUUAGCUUUAACAGAUGGAUUCUACCGAUUUGAUAUGAAGACAGAAAAAAAAGACUGAAAACACGAAAAGAGUUGAAAAAUAUAGAGUCAUUAAAGCCUUGAAUUAUCACUAACUGCAGGUCACUGGGUGAAUCUUCACUGGAUUCAUGGGUCAUUGACCAAGACUCGCAGCUUGUUCCUGCCCUAAACUGCACAUGAAUUAAGAAGACUCCAUUAAGAAGGUGACUGCUGCUAAGCUCCUCUAACGUGCAAGUUAGCGAGAGGAGGAGGGACUGCUGGCAUACACCGUAUCUCCAAGGAUGUGACUAUUCCUACCAGACAGCUACAUUCUAAAAUAAGUUUCAGUUCUGAGCAUCACCAAGAUCUAUCUUCUGAAAGCAAGAGCAAUUGCUCUGAGCAGUGAAGAUUUCUGUAGAAGAGCACAACUUCUCCUAUUUGUGCACGGACUGUCUUCUUGUUCUUGGUCAGACUGAAUAAAUAAAAACUUUCUCACA
rnacentral:lncRNA from 1 species